rnacentral:rRNA from 1 species
GACGGAGGAUGCAAGCGUUAUCCGGAAUUAUUGGGCGUAAAGCGUCCGUAGGCGGUUUCAAAAGUCUGUUGUUAAAGCCCACAGCUCAACUGUGGAUCGGCAAUGGAAACUGUGAGACUAGAGAGUGGUAGGGGUAGAGGGAAUUCCUAGUGUAGCGGUGAAAUGCGUAGAUAUCUGGAGGAACACCGGUGGCGAAGGCGGCAUCCUGGACCGAGAUCGACGCUGAGGCGCGAAAGCUAGGGGAGCAAACGGG